UGAAUUUGGAUGUACAAUACUACAUUCACAAUAUUGUCACUGUCAUGUGACCUACAAUGCAUCACUUCACAGAUCCUGACCCAUGGCCUCAUGAGAUAGUAAAGUGUCCAUCGUACACACACUGUACAAUCUCUACUUUUUGCCUACUAUGAAUUCAGACACACUUUUUUUUGUCACAUACUGUUUUUCAGCUACAUUUUAGUAGGGAAGUAUGCGAUUUUGAAUGCAGCUAGUGUUUCUGUUCCUUUAAAACGAAAGGUGAUUAAGAAAAAUCUGAUAGAACAGAUGGGUCUUUAGAUUGCAGUCACACUCUGUCAUGCACAUUAAACUUUAAUUGACCCGUUAAUUGCGACCAGAUAAUUUAAUGUAACGCUAAAGCUUUAAAAAGAAUCAGCUUUCACAUUUACAGCUGGGAUUUGUGCUUUAAUUGAUUCCUGUAUCCCACAAAGAGCAGUCAAUCUGAAUAACAGCAUCAGUGAUGAAUGAAAUAUGUUGGUUCUGUGUUCAUACAGUAGAUAGAGUCAGUCUAGUUAAAAAAUAUUGAUUAGAUUCUUACAAAUGCUAUUUUAAUUGGAGGGGUGUGUGUGAUGUGUCCUGUGGAGUUUGUGUUCAAGACUCCAGCUGUGACGUUAAAGUUCGCAUUAGAGCUAACAUCAGCAUCAUUACAUAAUAUAGUCCAAUUAAAACACAACUCCACAUACUGCAGAGUUAUACUAUGAAAGUAAAUAGUGAAUGGAAAUCAACUUUCAAAAUCACAUAUUCUAGGGGUGAAUUCACUAACAGUUGUGACACUUUUGCACAUGGUAUUUCACCUGCAUAUUUAUUCACUAACCACCCACAAUCCAGUUAAAUCAGAUGCCAUUUGCUAUCUGUGCCCCAUUUAAGCAAUUAUCAGUCAUUUCAGCACAAAUACACUUAGAAAAAAAAUCAGUUUUUUGGGGGUUUGCAGCAUUUAUCUGAUUUGCAUAUUUCCCUUAGUGAAUCAAGCUAUAAAACUAUGUAGAGUGCACAAAAUAAUGGCACUGUUGCAAUUAAUUUCGUGAAUUACCCUCAUCAUUUUUCAAUAUUAAACAUUUCAUAUUAUUCAUUUCUUUGUUUAUCUGUGUAUUUAAUAUUAAGUUGUUCAAAGUGUUUUGGGGAUUUAAUGGCUCAAUCAAGGAACAUCUAGUAUCGUGACUCUGAUUGGUGUUACUAAUUGGUGCCCCACUGGAUUGUAAUUUGAAAAUGUAUGAUUUAUUUUUAUCUGUAGAUUGACAACAAAGAGACAGAGAAUAAGUCUCUUUCGAAGAAAGAAAAGGGGGAAAAGAAGGACAAAGAAAAGGAG